rnacentral:rRNA from 1 species
UACGAAGGGAGCUAGCGUUGCUCGGAAUCACUGGGCGUAAAGGGCGCGUAGGCGGGAUGGCAAGUCGGUCGUGAAAUCCUUCGGCUCAACCGAAGAACGUCGGCCGAUACUGCCGUUCUUGAGGGAUGCAGAGGAGAUUGGAAUUCCCGGUGUAGCGGUGAAAUGUGUAGAGAUCGGGAGGAACACCGGUGGCGAAGGCGGGUCUCUGGGCAUCUCCUGACGCUGAGGCGCGAAAGCGUGGGGAGCAAACGGG